AUGAUCGCCUCAGCUGCUGGAGUUGUUUCUCUUCUGGAUGAAGAAGAACCACAGCUUAAGGAAUUCGCACUACACAAAUUGAAUACAGUUGUCAAUGACUUCUGGGCAGAAAUUUCUGAGUCUGUAGACAAAAUAGAAGUUUUGUAUGAAGAUGAAGGUUUCCGGAGUCGGCAGUUUGCAGCCUUAGUGGCAUCUAAAGUAUUUUACCACCUGGGAGCUUUUGAGGAGUCUCUGAAUUAUGCUCUUGGAGCAGGUGACCUCUUCAAUGUCAAUGACAAUUCUGAGUAUGUGGAGACUAUUAUAGCAAAAUGCAUUGAUCACUAUACCAAGCAGUGUGUAGAAAAUGCAGAUUUGCCUGAAGGAGAAAAAAACCAAUUGACCAGAGAUUGGAAGGCAUUGUGAACAAAAUGUUCCCACGAUGUCUAGAUGAUCGCAAGUAUAAGCAGGCUAUCGGCAUCGCCGUGGAGACGAGAAGACUAGAUGUCUUUGAGAAGACCACACUAGAAUCGAAUGAUGUCGCGGGAAUGCUAGCUUAUAGCCUCAAGCUCUGCAUGUCUUUAAUGCAGAAUAAACAGUUCCAGAAUAAAGUGCUGAGAGUCCUAGUUAAAAUCUACAUGACAGACCUCAUGAUUCUAAAAAACACAAAGGAAGCAGUACAGAAUUCAGUAUGCCACACAGCAACUGUCAUAGCAAACUCUUUCAUGCACUGUGGGACUACCAGUGACCAGUUUCUUAGAGAUAACUUGGAAUGGUUGGCCAGAGCCACUAACUGGGCUAAAUUUACUGCUGCAGCCAGUUUGGGUGUAAUUCAUAAGGGUCACGAGAAGGAAGCAUUGCAGUUAAUGGCAACCUACCUUCCCAAAGACACGUCUCCAGGGUCAGCCUACCAGGAAGGCGGGGGGCUCUAUGCACUAAGGCUCAUCCAUGCCAAUCAUGGUGGCGACAUAAUUGAUUACCUGCUGAAUCAGCUCAAGAAUGCCAGCAACGAUAUCGUUCGGCAUGGAGGCAGCCUGGGUCUUGAUUUGGCUGCCAUGGAAGCUGCAUGCCAGAAUGUUUAUGAUUUGCUAAAAACCAACCUUUACCAGGAUGAUGCUGCGACAGGAGAAGCAGCUGGCCUGGCCCUAGGUUUGGUUAUGUUGGGCUCUAAAAAUGCUCAGGCUAUCGAGGACAUGGUUGGCUAUGCCCAGGAAACCCAGCAUGAAAAGAUCCUGCGUGGUCUCGCCGUCGGCAUUGCCUUAGUGAUGUAUGGGAGGAUGGAAGAGGCUGAUGCACUCAUUGAGUCUCUCUGUCGGGAUAAGGACCCAAUUCUUCGAAGGUCUGGAAUGUAUACAGUGGCCAUGGCUUAUUGUGGCUUUGGUAACAACAAAGCUGUUCGACACCUGCUACAUGUUGCUGUCAGCAAUGUUAAUGAUGAUGUUAGGAGGGCAGCAGUCAAAUCACUUGGCUUCAUUCUAUUCAGGACCCCUGAGCAGUGUCCCAGUGUGGUCUCUCUGCUGUCCGAGAGUUACAACCCCCAUGUGCACUACAGAGCCGCGAUGGCCCUAGGCAUCUGCUGUGCUGGUACAGGAAACAAGGAAAUGAUUAAUUUGCUAGAACCAAUGAAAAAUGACCCUUGAACUACGUGAGGCAAGGGGCUCUCAUAGCCUACGUACACAUCAUGAUCCAGCAGACUGAGAUUACAUGUCCAAAGGUGAAUCAGUUCCAACAGCUGUGUUCCAAAGUUAUCAGUGAUAAGCAUGAUGAUGUCAUGGCCAAGUUUGGCGCUAUUCUGGCCCAGGGCAUACUAGAUGCAGGUGGUCAUAAUGUUACAAUCUCCUUACAGUCCAGAACUGGGCACACACAUAUGCCUUCUGUGGUUGGCGUCCUUGUCUUUACCCAAUUCUGGUUCUGGUUUCCUCUCUCACACUUUCUGUCAUUGGCUUAUACCCCUACCUGUGUCAUCGGCCUGAACAAGGAUUUAAAGAUGCCAAAGGUGCAGUAUAAAUCAAACUGUAAACCAUCCACAUUUACGUAUCCUGCACCUCUGGAAGUACCAAAAGAAAAAGAAAAGGAAAUGGUUUCUACUGCUGUGUUCUCUAUUACUGCCAAAGCCAAAAAGAAAGAAAAAGAAAAAGACAAAAAGGAGGAAGAGAAAAUGGAAGUGGACGAAGCAGAGAAAAAAGAAGAAAAAGAGAAGAAAAAGGAACCUGAGCCAAAUUUCCAGCUGUUGGAUAACCCAGCCCGAGUUAUGCCUGCCCAGCUGAAGGACAAACGUGUUACUUAUGCAGUUUCCAGUCCUCAAAAACGGUACUCGCAAAAACACGUGCUACAAGGCAGUGUCCACGUCCUAGAAGGGUGUCGCGGGCCGCGGGGAGGGAAGGCGGGACCUGGCUUCCUCUCCAGGAAGCAGCGAUGA